GUAGUUAGCCGGAGCUUCCUCCUUAGGUACCGUCAUUUUCUUCGUCCCUAAGGACAGAGGUUUACAAUCCGAAAACCUUCUUCCCUCACGCGGCGUUGCUGGGUCAGGGUUUCCCCCAUUGCCCAAUAUUCCCCACUGCUGCCUCCCGUAGGAGUUUGGACCGUGUCUCAGUUCCAAUGUGGCCGUUCACCCUCUCAGGUCGGCUACCCAUCGUCGCCUUGGUGAGCCGUUACCUCACCAACUAGCUAAUGGGACGCGAGCCCAUCUACAAGCGAUAAAUCUUUGACCCCUCACCAUGUGAUGCUGUGGUCUUAUGCGGUAUUAGCAGCCGUUUCCAGCUGUUGUCCCCCUCUUGUAGGUAGGUUGCUCACGCGUUACUCACCCGUCCGCCACUAAGUCAUUCAUACUUCCACCCGAAAGCUUCUGUUUGAAUGCUUCGUUCAACUUGCAUGUGUUAGCACGCCGCCACGCGUCGUCCUGAGCACGAUACAACUACUGA
rnacentral:rRNA from 1 species